rnacentral:rRNA from 1 species
GAUGAACGCUAGCUACAGGCUUAACACAUGCAAGUCGAGGGGAAACGACUUCGAAAGCUUACUUUUGAUGGGCGUCGACCGGCGCACGGGUGAGUAACGCGUAUCCAACCUGCCCACCACUUGGGGAUAACCUUGCGAAAGUAAGACUAAUACCCAAUGAUAUCUCUAGAAGACAUCUGAAAGAGAUUAAAGAUUUAUCGGUGAUGGAUGGGGAUGCGCCUGAUUAGCUUGUUGGCGGGGUAACGGCCCACCAAGGCUACGAUCAGUAGGGGUUCUGAGAGGAAGGUCCCCCACAUUGGAACUGAGACACGGUCCAAACUCCUACGGGAGGCAGCAGUGAGGAAUAUUGGUCAAUGGGCGAGAGCCUGAACCAGCCAAGUAGCGUGCAGGAUGACGGCCCUAUGGGUUGUAAACUGCUUUUAUAAGGGAAUAAAGUGAGCCUCGUGAGGCUUUUUGCAUGUACCUUAUGAAUAAGGACCGGCUAAUUCCGUGCCAGCCGCCGCGGUAA